UCUCCAACUUGAAGUUGGCGUCUUCUCUAUUCGCCGUGAAUGAUAGCUUGCGUUAUCCAUAACCACCACCGAAUUAGCCGGAAGAAAUUUUAUCAUUUCACCAAAAUAGUUCUCGAAAACGUCUGAGUUCAUGUCUUCAUGGUAAUCUCCUGUGCGAGUCGACUCAAAGGUUAGCACACCUUCUUUUAAAAAUCCAUCUUCGCUUCCAAUAUGUGUGAUUAUAAGUCUUUUUCCUUUUCCCGAAGGUACUUUAAUACCCGUAGACAGGCCUUCUAUGAAAGCUUGGCAAGCACUGGUUAUAUUUUUGUCUUGCCACAUUUUUUGGACUAUAUAACCUUCGUUAAUCCACGUCUCAUCAAGAUAAAAAAUUUUCUUUUGCUCCCUGCGGUACUGCUUGAUACUUCUCAAGUAUUGUCGUCUCCAACAAACAAUUUCGUCGCUCUCCAGUAAAAGUGCUUUGCGGUUAUGCUUUUCCCAGGCAAAAUCUAUAUUUUUUAAAGUUUUCCAUAAAAGUUUUCUACUUAUCAACGGAAUACUGUCAUCUCGGCCAAGCUCCAUUAAAAUUUUGUCUAGGGUGGGUAUUUCCUUUUUAAAAUAAAAAGAGUGAAAUUUUCUUCGAAUUAUACAUUUAGCAUUUUCAUCAAGGACUUUUGUAGGUCGUCCUGGCUUUUGCUUGGGAGAUUCCACUUGACCUGCUACUUUUCUUUCCCGCAACAAUUUGAAAUUGGUGGACUUUCCAAUUCCACUCAUUCGAGAACAUUUUUCAACAAUUUCUUGCACAGUAAAACUAGGGUAAUCAUGUUUUAUGCAAUCAUGUACAUUUAAAAUAAUAACUUUUUCACUCAGCGAUAGUGGAGAAGUUUUAGUACAUCUUUUCGUUGGACUGAAUACCUCCAUUUUUUAAAUAUUGGGAUAAUAAUAUUGUGAUUACACUACAGCGAAGCAGUGACUACUAACGUUUAAAAUAUGAUUUAAAAGUAUUUAUAGUCUGUAUAUAUUACCUGACCCCAUUUUUGCAUGUUACAAAGCGUUAAAAGAUAGGUACCUAUACAAAAGGAUUAAAAGUAUUUAUUUAGUAUUUAAUCUCUUUCAAAAUAAAGGCAUUUAAUCCGUGAAAAUUAAAUUCGUAAAUAUUAUAAGUACCUGCGCCUAUGAACUACCACGAAAUGUAGCCAAACAGAACGGAAUUCCCCAGUUUAUUGCUCUAUACACUUCUGAAAUAGAGUAUAGCAAUUUAGAAGCUAAGAGGUGGCGCCCCCAUACGUAGGAAUGAUGAAACUCGCUUGGCAGCCUUGGUAUUAAAAAUUACGAGACAUAAUAUCGCAGAGAAAUGGGAGUUUUCGCAUUGCGCUAUUUCUGUUUGAGGACAUAUUCGCAUAUUCCAUAGUAUAAAUUUGGGAGAAAAUAUUGAAAGGUUUAGUUUCAUAUUUUGUUUUUUUUUCUAAUUUUUAAGUAUAAAAUCUAAUAAGUAAUAUAAGUAAUAUAAUUUUGCUUAUUUUUAAAAGUACAGUAUAUUAUAGAGUUUGCCUACAUUUCGGCAGAACCAGAGGCUGUUAUUUUUUAUACAAGGUGCAAAAAUAUACAUAUGGUAAAGUGUUUUAAGCUUUUGGGUCUACGGCU